rnacentral:tRNA from 1 species
GUUGUGGCUCAGUGGUACAGCACUUGCCUCACAAGUGUGAGUCACUGGGUUCGAUCCCCAGCACAACA